AGCUUGCUCCUGUGUGUGACGAGCGGCGGACGAGGUGAGUAAUGUCUGGGAAACUGCCUGAUGGAGGGGGAUAACUACUGGAAACGGUAGCUAAUACCGCAUAACGUCGCAAGACCAAAGAGGGGGACCUUCGGGCCUCUUGCCAUCAGAUGUGCCCAGAUGGGAUUAGCUAGUAUGUGGGGUAACGGCUCACCUAGGCGACGAUCCCUAGCUGGUCUGAGAGGAUGACCAGCCACACUGGAACUGAGACACGGUCCAGACUCCUACGGGAGGCAGCAGUGGGGAAUAUUGCACAAUGGGCGCAAGCCUGAUGCAGCCAUGCCGCGUGUAUGAAGAAGGCCUUCGGGUUGUAAAGUACUUUCAGCGGGGAGGAAGGCGUUGAGGUUAAUAACCUCAGCGAUUGACGUUACCCGCAGAAAAAGCACCGGCUAACUCCGUGCCAGCAGCCGCGGUAAUACGGAGGGUGCAAGCGUUAAUCGGAAUUACUGGGCGUAAAGCGCACGCAGGCGGUCUGUCAAGUCGGA
rnacentral:rRNA from 1 species